rnacentral:rRNA from 1 species
AGAGUUUGAUCCUGGCUCAGAAUGAACGCUGGCGGCGUGCUUAACACAUGCAAGUCGUACGAGAAAGCUUUGGCUUGCCAGAGCGAGUAAAGUGGCGCACGGGUGAGUAACGCGUGGGUAAUCUACCCUCGAAUUCGGGAUAACACUUCGAAAGGGGUGCUAAUACCGGAUAACAUCAUAAACUCCUCAGAGUUAAUGAUCAAAGGUGGCCUCUACAUGUAAGCUACUGUUUGAGGAUGAGCCCGCGUACCAUUAGCUAGUUGGUAGGGUAAUGGCCUACCAAGGCAACGAUGGUUAGCUGGUCUGAGAGGAUGAUCAGCCACACUGGAACUGACACACGGUCCAGACUCCUACGGGAGGCAGCAGUGAGGAAUAUUGCGCAAUGGGGGAAACCCUGACGCAGCGACGCCGCGUGGGUGAGGAAGGCCUUCGGGUCGUAAAGCCCUGUCAGGUGGGAAGAAGUGCCGAGCGGUUAAUACCCGUUGGGUUUGACGGUACCACCAAAGGAAGCACCGGCUAACUCCGUGCCAGCAGCCGCGGUAAUACGGAGGGUGCAAGCGUUGUUCGGAAUUACUGGGCGUAAAGGGCGCGUAGGCGGCUUGUUAAGUCAGAUGUGAAAUCCCACGGCUCAACCGUGGAAGUGCAUUUGAAACUGGCAGGCUUGAGUACCAGAGGGGAAAGUGGAAUUCCCGGUGUAGAGGUGAAAUUCGUAGAUAUCGGGAGGAAUACCGGUGGCGAAGGCGACUUUCUGGCUGGAUACUGACGCUGAGGCGCGAAAGCGUGGGUAGCAAACAGGAUUAGAUACCCUGGUAGUCCACGCCGUAAACGAUGAGAACUAGAUGUUGGGGGUGUUGAUCCCCUCGGUGUCGCAGCUAACGCAUUAAGUUCUCCGCCUGGGGAGUACGGUCGCAAGAUUAAAACUUAAAGGAAUUGACGG